UUGGAUGAGAGUUUGAUCCUGGCUCAGAACGAACGCUGGCGGCGUGCUUAACACAUGCAAGUCGAACGCUGAGCACUCAGCCACUGAGCCCGUUUAAAGAAAGCGGGUUGAGUGGUUGAGUGCUUGGAGUGGCGGACGGGUGAGUAACACGUAGGCAACCUGCCCUGAGGCGGGGGACAACAUGGGGAAACCCGUGCUAAUACCCCGUAAGCCCGCUAACUGAGAUGUUAGCGGGGAAAGGAGAAAUCCGCCUUAGGAUGGGCCUGCGGCCUAUCAGGUAGUUGGCGGGGUAGAGGCCCACCAAGCCAAAGACGGGUAGCCGGUCUGAGAGGAUGGACGGCCACACUGGAACUGAGACACGGUCCAGACUCCUACGGGAGGCAGCAGUGGGGAAUUUUGCGCAAUGGGGGAAACCCUGACG
rnacentral:rRNA from 1 species